CACUCCUGUUUCUGCCCUAUAUUCAUCCUCGUUGAAUUAUAGGUUCUGGUGAUGGAGAAGAACAAGCCCGACAACGGCCUAGCGAAUUUUGUAACCUCGCGAAAGCUUUUGGCGGGAUCGUGUGGUUUGGCUGGCUUAGAAGAUCUUUCGCCUAUGGCGUCAGGUCGGCCAGUCGCCGCUAUAUUU
rnacentral:snoRNA from 1 species